GGCUCUUCCAGUUCCGGCGCCGUCUUCGGAGGCCCCGCAUAGCAGUAACAGGGCUUCCUCAUAGGCAGUAGAUGAGAGACAUCCUGGGAUAAUGCCACCGGCUUUCUGCAAUGAACUAACUCCAAGAUCCGGGACUCUUAGAGCAGAACUUCACCCGUGCCCCUCCCUCCCACGAUGGUCCUCAGCCCUGUGCCUUCCCACCUGCAUGUUGAGCCCCGAAGGUGAACGAAGGUGGACGCAAGGAGCCGGGGGCACCAGCUGCCAGGUUCAAGCUUCACUGCGAUUGGCGCCUUGGCGGCCUGCCAGCUCCGCGCUGCUGCCCGAGGGCGGGGAAGGGAACAGACAACCGCCUCUGAGAGAACGCGGGGCGCAGUGCUGCGAGCCUCUGGUAAGGGGAGGUCUCUUCCCCUGAAGCCCCACGAACGCGCCUUUGCUGCCGAUGACCAUAUUAUUUGACACUUGGAGAACAACAUGGACGAACUACAACAAGGGGACUGUGGUCUUAUCUGCUGCCCUCGCGAUGUUUUUAGUUACCAAAAACUAAAAUUUUAGCCACUAUUAACAUUUACUAAUGAAUGGUCCCCUUCGGUUUCUUUCA